rnacentral:rRNA from 1 species
UAUACGACCGUACCGCAAACCGACACUGGUGCGCGAGAUGAGUAUUCUAAGGCGCUUGAGAGAACUCAGGAGAAGGAACUCGGCAAAUUGACACCGUAACUUCGGAAGAAGGUGUGCCCUAUUAGUGUGUAGUGAACAACGAAGCAUGAAUGGGUUGCAAAAAAUCGGUGGCUGCGACUGUCUAUUAAAAACACAGCACUCUGCAAACACGAAAGUGGACGUAUAGGGUGUGACGCCUGCCCGGUGCUGGAAGAUUAAAUGAUGGGGUGCAAGCUCUUGAUUGAAGUCCCAGUAAACGGCGGCCGUAACAAUAACGGUCCUAAGGUAGCGAAAUUCCUUGUCGGGUAAGUUCCGACCUGCACGAAUGGCGUAACGAUGGCCACACUGUCUCCUCCUGAGACUCAGCGAAGUUGAAAUGUUUGUGAUGAUGCAAUCUCCCCGCGGAAAGACGGAAAGACCCCAUGAACCUUUACUGUAGCUUUGUAUUGGACUUUGAACAGAUCUGUGUAGGAUAGGUGGGAGGCUUUGAAGCAGGGUCGCUAGAUCUUGUGGAGCCAACGUUGAAAUACCACCCUGGUGUGUUUGAGGUUCUAACCUAGGUCCAUUAUCUGGAUCGGGGACAGUGCAUGGUAGGCAGUUUGACUGGGGCGGUCUCCUCCCAAAGCGUAACGGAGGAGUUCGAAGGUACGCUAGUUACGGUCGGACAUCGUGACGAUAGUGCAAUGGCAUAAGCGUGCUUAACUGCGAGACUGACAAGUCGAGCAGAUGCGAAAGCAGGACAUAGUGAUCCGGUGGUUCUGUAUGGAAGGGCCAUCGCUCAACGGAUAAAAGGUACUCUGGGGAUAACAGGCUGAUACCGCCCAAGAGUUCAUAUCGACGGCGGUGUUUGGCACCUCGAUGUCGGCUCAUCUCAUCCUGGGGCUGUAGCCGGUCCCAAGGGUAUGGCUGUUCGCCAUUUAAAGAGGUACGUGAGCUGGGUUUAAAACGUCGUGAGACAGUUUGGUCCCUAUCUUCCGUGGGCGCUGCAGAUUUGAGGAAGCCUGCUCCUAGUACGAGAGGACCGGAGUGGACACACCUCUGGUGUAUCGGUUGUCACGCCAGUGGCAUUGCCGAGUAGCUAAGUGUGGAAGAGAUAACCGCUGAAAGCAUCUAAGCGGGAAACUCGUUUCAAGAUGAGAUCUGCCGGGGCCUUGAGCCCCCUAAAGAGUCGUUCAAGACCAGGACGUUGAUAGGUCAGGUGUGGAAGC